rnacentral:rRNA from 1 species
GAUGAACGCUGGCGGCGUGCCUAAUACAUGCAAGUCGAGCGAACAGACGAGGAGCUUGCUCCUCUGACGUUAGCGGCGGACGGGUGAGUAACACGUGGAUAACCUACCUAUAAGACUGGGAUAACUUCGGGAAACCGGAGCUAAUACCGGAUAAUAUAUUGAACCGCAUGGUUCAAUAGUGAAAGACGGUUUUGCUGUCACUUAUAGAUGGAUCCGCGCCGCAUUAGCUAGUUGGUAAGGUAACGGCUUACCAAGGCAACGAUGCGUAGCCGACCUGAGAGGGUGAUCGGCCACACUGGAACUGAGACACGGUCCAGACUCCUACGGGAGGCAGCAGUAGGGAAUCUUCCGCAAUGGGCGAAAGCCUGGCGGAGCAACGCCGCGUGAAUGAUGAAGGUCUUCGGAUCGUAAAACUCUGUUAUUAGGGAAGAACAAAUGUGUAAGUAACUAUGCACGUCUUGACGGUACUUAAUCAGAAAGCCACGGCUAACUACG